rnacentral:rRNA from 1 species
GACGAACGCUGGCGGCGUGCUUAACACAUGCAAGUCGAACGAUGAAGAAAAGAAUCGAAGCUUCGGCAGAAAUUCAUUUCGGAUUAGUGGCAGACGGGUGAGUAACGCGUGAGCAACCUACCCCUUACAAAGGGAUAGCUACGGGAAACCGGGAGUAAUACCAUAUAACAUUGUGACGAAGCAUUUCGAUGCAAUCAAAGCUACGGCGGUAAGAGAUGGGCUCGCGUCCCAUUAACCGGAUGGUGAGGUAACGGCUCACCAUAGUGACGAUGGGUAACCGGGCUGAGAGGGUGAACGGUCACACUGGAACUGAGACACGGUCCAGACUCCUACGGGAGGGAGCAGUGGGGAAUAUUGCACGAUGGAGUGAGCUCUGAUGCAGCGACGCCGCGUGAGUGAUGAAGGGAUUCGUUACGUAAAACUCUGUUCUAUGGGAAGAAAAGGACUGUACCAUAGGAGAAAGCACCGGCUAACUACGUG